rnacentral:pre_miRNA from 1 species
GGAAUAUAAGAACCCGUCUCUUAACUUUUAACUAAAAAAGUUAAGAACCGGCUCUUAAAACUCUUAUUUAAGAACCGGUUUUUAUCUUUUUUAGUUAAAAUUAAGAGACGGGUUCUUAUAUUCC